UCGAGAAGCUUCGGCAAUGGGGGAAACCCUGACCGAGCGACGCCGCGUGAGCGAUGAAGGCCCUAGUGGUUGUAAAGCUCUGUCAGAUUGGGAAUAAAUGCCGGGGACGAAUAAUCCCCGGAGCUGAAGGUACCGUCAGAGGAAGCACCGGCUAACUCCGUGCCAGCAGCCGCGGUAAUACGGAGGGUGCAAGCGUUGUUCGGAUUCACUGGGUAUAAAGGGUGCGUAGGCGGCCUUGUAAGUCAGAGGUGAAAGCUGUCGGCUCAACUGACAAAUUGCCUUUGAGACUGCAAGGCUUGAGUCCGGGAGAGGAAGGCGGAAUUCCAGGUGUAGCGGUGAAAUGCGUAAAUAUCUGGAGGAACACCGGUGGCGAAGGCGGCCUUCUGGUCCGGAACUGACGCUGAGGCACGAAAGCCAGGGGAGCAAACG
rnacentral:rRNA from 1 species